CCACUGCAUUAACACAAAAACCUAAAGUUAAUAUCUUACAAAGAUUGUAUUUACUUAACUUGGCUGAUGUAGUUACCUCACGUUAUCAGUAAUAGGAACAAUAACUGGAUUGAAACUGUAGAUGUUAUACUUCCAUAAGUCAUUUUUUGACCCUUGCACUUUAUUUGGUUUAGUCAAACUUUUUUUUAUGAGAUCAAAUCUUUUCCGCCACUUACAAAGCUGGAAUUUAAUUAAAGCAGAUUUUUUAUUUUUUUAAAGUUUGGAUAUUGCCGUUUCUAAUUUUCCAAGGCUUUACUGAGUUGAGUAUAUUAUCUACAGGGUCAAGUCCACAGUUCAGUUUCAGAAGUGUUCAACAACAGCUAUGACAGCAGUGUCAACGUGUAAGGAGGUGCCUCAGCAAAAGCAAUAAGAACGUACACUAAAUGUGGAAAUAUCCUUCAUGACAGUUCUCGCUUCAUUGCCAGCAUAUUUCCCAACAAGAGGAACAGGCAUGUUGGUAUCUGACCAGAAUUUGUGUCUACUUGUAAAGCUUCCAUAAAGUAUUAAUAAGACUUCAAUUAUGCAUAGACCUUCUAUUUUUCACAAAUAUUGCACAUUUCUCUGUUCGUGACAAACAUAGGACACAGACAGAAUAUUCUGGUCUUCCAUUGACCAUGUCUCCAAUGACUAGUCUCCAAGAAGACAGAUAAGGUAUUUUCUCAGUGGACAACAGACAAUACCAAAAUUUUGCAGCAAACAUACCUGUCCUUUAGAAAUCAAUAAUAUACAGAAUAACUCCCAAAGUGAUCAGAAAGAUUCUUCAAAAGGACCAUUUUUCAUAGAAGCUGAAUCAGUACAGGUGGAGCAGUAACAGUUCAUGGAGCUGCCUUUCACAAACCUUGAAGUAGCUUUCAUCCUGCUGGCUUUUGUCAUUUUCUCCUUGUUUACCCUGGCAUCUAUCUACAGUGAUCCCCAUGACAACAAAGAAGAGGAAUGCUCCACACAGGAAGGAUACAAGAAAAAGAUCAAAUCCAACAAGAAAAAGGCGCGUACAAGUAUGACUGAAGUGAUUUAGAAAAAGAACUAUUACCCAGGUCCACUGCUGGACAUACCUCUGAAAGAGGUAGCUUUGGAAGCUGGUCACCUGAAGACAGUGAGAAAAAGGAUGUGAGAAAGGAAGGACCUGAUCACCCAUCAGAUGGAAUCCAGACGUGACAAUUAGAGUUAAUGAACCAUGACCCAUGAAGCUGUUUCAGCACCUUUUUACAACCCCACUUCAUGGCCUUAAUAAAACUUCCAAGGCUUUUUUUUUUUUUACAAAGCACAUCUGCUCUACAUACUAAGGGGAGAAACUAGAUUCAGAAGUUAUGUAUAAAGUAUACUUAAGAUCCGUGUGUUUACUCCUCUAUCUGUUAAGUCAACUGAACAUCAGAAGAUACUAUUUCUACAAGACUGUAUAGCAUUAUUAUAGUAGUUAUUUAAUUUACAUUAACAUUAAUAAGCUGCUAAAGCUGACUGAAAAGUACCAGGCAAAUAUUUUUAAGUUAACCACUAUAAUGGCAUCUAUGUUCAUAUACUGGUUUUGACCCCAGAUAUUUAGAAAGCUAAUAAGAUGUCUUAAGAAAAUUAGGUUGAUUGAUUUGCUGCUUUUGAAAGGUGCCUAACUCAACCUUGAUACUAAGUCCUCCAUUUCUUCACAGACACAAAACAUUUCUGCAGUUUUGGGAUCCCAUCCAUUUCCUGUAGGUCUCAAGCACAAGUAUUACACCAGCACUGCUGCUUCUGUGCAUAAUUAAAAUUAGCAAAGGGAAGCACAAAGUAGUUCAUGAGGAGCUCUGGUUGGGCUCUAAGUUUUAAUAUACACAGGGAAGGAGAACUUGCUUAGUUUCCCACCACAGUGAUGAGUAAAAAUAUCAAGAAAUUGACCUUGUUGUACAGCAAAUCUUAAGAUGGCAGUUGUAGAGCAGCUUAAUUAUGAUGCAUCAUUUUCAGACUGUCAGUGUUUUUUAGGGUAGUAAGGAGAAUGCCUUAUUCUGUCAGAUAACUAACACUAACUCCAAAUUCCUGUUUGAUCCCAUAUCACACUUUUUUUUUCUUUUUUCUUUUUCCUAGAAAAGGGACUAAGUUCCUUUCAGAACCUCUCAACAGUUUCCCCAAAUCACCAGAAUCCAUGUACUUGGUCUUCUGCUAGUACAUGGAAUGGAGGAUUGAAAUAGGGCCAAACAAUUCUUGUUUUUUUCAUACCAGGCAUUCCUUUCCCUGGCCUCCUCCUAAGAUAUUUAGCAAUUAUGCAAGUCUGUAUGCAAGUCAAUAUGCAACAUUCUCCCUACCUAUGGCAGAGAGCUCCAAAUCUCACUGAAUGCUGAGCUCCCUACCUUCUCCAGUGACACUGCCACACUUCAUCCCUAGCUACUUUCCUGCUGUCUCCUGCCUCCCCUACUUGUCCUCUCCACCAACAGGGAUCAUGAAACAGUGGGAGUGACAGAAAGGUAAAAUCUCAAGAAUUACAAUUUACUUAAUCUUUCAAAAUUAAAUUCACUCUCUCCUUCUAGACCAAUUGUAUAGGUGAAACUGUUACACUUCCCCUCCCACCCCUCAUUUGAUAUUAAUCAGUAAUUUAGAAAAAAUAAUCAGGUUGCAUAUUAAUCCAUGACCAAAUCAAUGCUAGAUCCAUUUCCUGGAAGGAUAAUGUAAUGUUUUGUCACAACUUCAUUUGUCAUCCCAAGGUUUGAUAAGUAUUCAGCUUGUGCUAACACAAAAAAGGUUUCCCCCAAACAAAUCAAUUCACUAUGAAAACCGAUGCCUAAAUUACAACUGCUUUUUGGUAGUGGUAGUCUAUUCCAGGGAUACUUUUCUAGUGGCCUUGGUCAGAAAUACGCAAAGGCAAGAUACUUGGUGCAGAGCAGGAAGCUCACAAAAGCUUGAAGGCAGUGUCUUGUGGCAAGCUGCAUCCCAGUUCCAUCUUCUCACUGUGUUAGAAAGUGAUCGGUUAUGUCUGGGAAAGAAAAAGGCAUCUCAGCCACUGGUACCCCUUUCACUCUGAACGUAAAGAAAAACAUAAUUCAGAAGUUAGAGUCCAGUUUGAUCUUGCAGUGGGAAAUGUCUGUGGUAUGUGCAGGACCUCAUUGGGAGUGUCUGCCUCUCAUGGGAAGUGGCUCAUAGAUCUUCUUCUUAACUCAGGUUGUACUCACACAUUCCACUUUUUUAUUAGUAGUACUUCACACUCUUUACUGAUACCCAGGCUUGCUCAAGCUGAAUUACAAGAAAUUGCUAUUACUGUCACCAGUUACCUUCUUACAGUGAAAUCACUUUCAGGAAAAUAAAAAAAAAAAAGGAAUGUUGCUGUCUUCUGUUCUCCUAGUAUGGGCAUGUGGAUAAAUUAAAUGAUACUUAUGUCUUUCUGUAAGGAGAUUCAAAAUUUUUCUCUAAAAAAAAGAUGAUCGGAAGGACAGAGAAGGAAAAAGCAUGGUAAAAUGCCUGAUAUGAAGUUAUUUGACUGAAGAUGAAUGGUAGAGGAAUGUUAUAAAAUCUCUCCAUAUCUUAAUCAACAGUUUAAAUAAUAAAACACUUCAUUUUAUUCUAGGAAGUCUUUUCAACACACACACAAAAAAAUGUUGCAUGGUAUUUUAAAUGGCCUGGGGACUAUAAACUGUCUCCUCCAGUACACACAUUAUUGCUACAAUAAGUUUAUCUUUAUCUUUUUUUUUUUUUUUUCCCCACUUCAUUAACGUCCCAAGGGCUCAGUAAAUGUUACUGGUAUUGAAAACACUGUCAAACAGGUGAAAUAAAAUAAAAGGGGAAAUUAAUUUUUAAAAUAUCAAAAUAUAGAGUGUUUGCUGAAAAGAUAUCCUGCCUUGCUUAUACAUUGAACUAUUUUUAAGUAUGUGUUCAGAGAAGUUGUGUAACAUAUAAUAUAGUAAAUAAAGCACCCACAAAACAGGUGAGUGACAUUA